UUUGAUUCAUCUUACAGAUUGCUGAAGUGAAUACAACUCAAACCUACGCUUACGAAUAAAUGUAAACAUUUUCAAGGUGAGUUUGAUUCUUUCUCUCUCUGUAUAUAUAUUUUAAUGGAGAUCAGUAUCAGUCUGAAUCUACGAAUGUAAAGGAGUUGAAUUAUGAGAGAAUUAACAAAUCGGCCAGGUCAAUGGCUGAUAAAUAUAUGGCUUUAGGAACCUUAACUUCACAUGCAUUGCACCUAAUACUCGUUAUAAUAUCAGCAUCGACCAUCUACUUAGGUAACCAAACACCAAAUUACGCCCUCUUUUGACAAGUGAACAAAUUAAAAUAUAAUUUUGUUCAAUAUAAAACCUUAUUAAAAUUUGGAAAAAAAAAUAUCAUACAAAAAUGUUUCUAAUUAAGAGCCCCAUUUUUCUUUUUCUUUUUCUUUUUUUCCCAUAUCGUUCAGUAUCUACACUGCCACAUAAUGUUUAAUGUACUAAAGUAAAAAAGUUUAAAAAAAAAUUGUAGUAAAUUUACCCCAUAAAUAUAAUCACUGUCUCUCUAAAUCAGCAAUCUCAAAUUGAAUCCUCCUUGAUGAUCUGUCCCAGUCCCCAUUGAGUAUUCUUCUAAAAGAACUCAAUCUUGAACUGGACCCUGCUGUAACUUUAGCCGAAUUAGCUUCAACCCCAUUAUUAUUACCACUAUUUGAAGAAGUCCCUUCAGCAGAAACCAAUAACGGGGGAGCCGUGGGUGCGAUACUGACCGGACCCUCACGGGAUUCCGGCUGCGGCCGUGGCUCAGCCCCGGUGCGGCAAAUGGGACACGUGGAAUGCGACCCCAACCACUUGUCAAUGCACUCUGAAUGGAACGUGUGGUUGCAAUUUGGUAAGACUCUAGCCAUCUCUUCAUUUUCAAGAUUGCUCAAACAAACCGCACACUCUAUUGCAGCUGCCAAACCAUCGUCCUGGCCGCCGUCCGUUUGCUUGUAAACGAAUAUAGGCAAGGCGGCGAUGACAGUAGGAUCGAGACCGGUCUUGGGUGGUGGUGGUGUCUCCGUGGAGUGAGUCACACGGUUGUUGACUAGGUCAAGGCUGCGGAUGACUGAACGGCGUCUGGCUUGACGACGAAGCACACACCUUGCGUAUAUGUGAAGUAAUAGGACCACAACUAUGACGAUUGUUAGUGAAAUAAUGGCAGUUACCAUGAUCUUGCUGUUGAGAGAAUAAGGGUUCUUGUGAUCGUCGUCGCCAUCGCCGAUGUUCAUGGUGGAUUCAGCGGCGGAGCUGUGACCGGUGGCUGAGAUUUGGAGAUAUGGACACCGGAAACAAGGGAGGAGUGUAAAUGUUGAUAUAUGUGUGUGUGUAUUUGUAUAUAUAUAAUGCGAGACUGUGAGUUGUUUCUUGUGUCUUUGAAAUUAGAGGGCGAGGCCAUAUGUGUAUUACCAAUAAAUAUUGAAGAUUUUGACUGUUGAAUGUUGACUUCUAAGCCCC
rnacentral:lncRNA from 1 species